ACGAUGUUCCGCUGCAGGGGUAGAAGCUGUCAUGAGCAUCUG
rfam:Bacillus halodurans C-125 DNA, complete genome.